rnacentral:tRNA from 1 species
GCCCACGUAGCUCAGUCGGUAGAGCACUUCCAUGGUAAGGAAGGGGUCACCGGUUCAAAUCCGGUCGGAGGCU